GAGAGAGCUAUUACCAGAGCGCCUAUGAAUGGACACUGCCAUCUGUGGUAUGCACUUUUGUGUGGUUAUGUAUCUGAGUUUGAGGGCUUGCAAAAUAAAAUUAACUGUGGACAUCUAUUCAAGAAGCAUCUAGAUAUAGCCAUCCAGCUUUUGCCUGAAGAACCCGUUUUAUAUUACCUCAAGGGAAGAUAUUGUUAUACUGUCUCAAAACUCAGCUGGAUUGAGAAAAAAAUGGCUGCUACUCUAUUUGGGGAAAUACCAUCUUCAACAGUUCAUGAAGCUUUGCAUAACUUCCUUAAGACUGAAGAAUUGCAACCUGGGUAUUCUGUGUCCAACUAUAUGUAUGUGGCCAAGUGUUAUGUUGAUCUUGGGGAAUCUCGGGAGGCUUGGAAAUUCUGUAACUUGGCAUUGUUAUUGCCUAUCGUCACCAAAGAGGACAAGGAUGCACACAAGGAAGUGAAGAAAAUAAUUGGUUCUUUGAAGAGGUCUAGCCUUGCCUUCUACAGCCACUGCACCAUGAGACAAAUCAUGUUCUCUGAAGACAGUGCUUACUCUAAUGUUAGCGUAUAAUGAUCUCUGGAUACUUCGUUUUAUUCAUGUCAAUAAACUACAGCCUUAAGAGUGUUUGUGUAACCAAGACUUAAACCUAUUUAAUAAAACGCACCCUAGUGAAUGUU
rnacentral:lncRNA from 1 species